UAUUGCGCAAUGGAGGAAACUCUGACGCAGUGACGCCGCGUAUGGGAAGAAGGUUUUCGGAUUGUAAACCAUUGUCGUUAGGGAAGAAGAAGUGACAGUACCUAAGGAGGAAGCUCCGGCUAACUAUGUGCCAGCAGCCGCGGUAAUACAUAGGGAGCAAGCGUUAUCCGGAUUUAUUGAGUGUAAAGGGUGCGUAGACGGGAAUUUAAGUUGGUUGUGAAAUCCCUCGGCUCAACUGAGGAACUGCAACCAAAACUGGAUUUCUUGAGUACUGGAGAGGAAAGUGGAAUUCCUAGUGUAGCGGUGAAAUGCGUAGAUAUUAGGAGGAACACCAGUGGCGAAGGCGACUUUCUGGACAGUAACUGACGUUGAGGCACGAAAGUGUGGGGAGCAAACAGG
rnacentral:rRNA from 1 species